CUCAUAUUUUCUACAGGCCAUGCUCAGCAUGAUCUUCAAAUUGCUGGAUCUACUCCGUUUAACACUUCAGAAAUUGCAGGAGAAAUUACCUGCUUAAUUGUAUGCAGAAAGGAAGUGUGUGGGAAUACAGAAAGUACACAACUAUUAAAGACCAGAAAGAGAAAUCAGAGAUAGCACGUCUGCUCACAUCCCUAGCAGACAUCACAG
rnacentral:lncRNA from 1 species